rnacentral:lncRNA from 1 species
CCUAUUUGAGAAACCUAAAUCUAACAGUAAAGACUACUCAGACAUAUUCAUGGAACACAUGGUUUUGAUGGUCUGAAUAAUACUUAAAUAAAUUAAAUAGCAAAAGUAACAGAAAUAAUGAAAGCAAGGGAGUUCAAGAUCUUCUAUGUUUUGCAGUAGCUGAUCUAUCUCUCCAAUCCUAAGCUCUCCUCUUUCAGUGGUGGCUUCUUGCCUCCUCCAAACUAGGUCUCAAAGGUCUCUAG